rnacentral:rRNA from 1 species
UUUAAAAGACCUAGCAAUAGGUAUGCUUAGGGAGGAGCUUGCGUCACAUUAGUUAGUUGGUGGGGUAAAGGCCUACCAAGACUAUGAUGUGUAGCCGGGCUGAGAGGUUGAACGGCCACAUUGGGACUGAGACACGGCCCAAACUCCUACGGGAGGCAGCAGUAGGGAAUUUUCGGCAAUGGAGGAAACUCUGACCGAGCAACGCCGCGUGAACGAUGAAGUAUUUCGGUACGUAAAGUUCUUUUAUUAGGGAAGAAUAAAUGAUGGAAAAAUCAUUCUGACGGUACCUAAUGAAUAAGCCCCGGCUAACUAUGUGCCAGCAGCCGCGGUAAUACAUAGGGGGCAAGCGUUAUCCGGAAUUAUUGGGCGUAAAGGGUGCGUAGGCGGUUAAAUAAGUUUAUGGUCUAAGUGCAAUGCUCAACAUUGUGAUGCUAUAAAAACUGUUUAGCUAGAGUAAGAUAGAGGCAAGUGGAAUUCCAUGUGUAGUGGUAAAAUGCGUAAAUAUAUGGAGGAACACCAGUAGCGAAGGCGGCUUGCUGGGUCUUUACUGACGCUGAGGCACGAAAGCGUGGGGAGCAAACAGGAUUAGAUACCCUGGUAGUCCACGCCGUAAACGAUGAGUACUAAACGUUGGGUAAAACCAGUGUUGAAGUUAACACAUUAAGUACUCCGCCUGAGUAGUACGUACGCAAGUAUGAAACUUAAAGGAAUUGACGGGACUCCGCACAAGCGGUGGAUCAUGUUGUUUAAUUCGAAGGUACCCGAAAAACCUCACCAGGUCUUGACAUGCUUCUGCAAAGCUGUAGAAACACAGUGGAGGUUAUCAGUUGCACAGGUGGUGCAUGGUUGUCGUCAGCUCGUGUCGUGAGAUGUUGGGUUAAGUCCCGCAACGAGCGCAACCCUUAUUGUUAGUUACCAGCACGUAAUGGUGGGGACUUUAGCAAGACUGCCAGUGAUAAAUUGGAGGAAGGUGGGGACGACGUCAAAUCAUCAUGCCCCUUAUGACCUGGGCUACAAACGUGAUACAAUGGCUGUUACAAAGGGUAGCUGAAGCGCAAGUUUUUGGCGAAUCUCAAAAAAACAGUCUCAGUUCGGAUUGAAGUCUGCAACUCGACUUCAUGAAGUGGAAUCGCUAGUAAUCGCGAAUCAGCAUUAGGCCGAA